rnacentral:rRNA from 1 species
UGAGGAAUAUUGGUCAAUGGGCGCAAGCCUGAACCAGCCAUCCCGCGUGAAGGAUGACGGCCCUAUGGGUUGUAAACUUCUUUUAUGUACCAAGAAUAUGCCUUACGAGUAGGGUAUUGACGGUAGUGCAUGAAUAAGCAUCGGCUAACUCCGUGCCAGCAGCCGCGGUAAUACGGAGGAUGCGAGCGUUAUCCGGAUUCAUUGGGUUUAAAGGGUGCGUAGGCGGUUUAUUAAGUCAGUGGUGAAAUCCUGCGGCUCAACCGUAGAACUGCCAUUGAUACUGAUAAACUUGAAUAUAGUUGAGGUAGGCGGAAUGAGUAGUGUAGCGGUGAAAUGCUUAGAUAUUACUCAGAACACCGAUUGCGAAGGCAGCUUGCUAAGCUAUUAUUGACGCUGAGGCACGAAAGCGUGGGGAUCAAACA